rnacentral:rRNA from 1 species
AUUGAACGCUGGCGGCAUGCCUUACACAUGCAAGUCGAACGGCAGCACGGGAGCAAUCCUGGUGGCGAGUGGCGAACGGGUGAGUAAUGUAUCGGAACGUACCUUUCAGUGGGGGAGUAACGUAGCGAAAGUUAACGCUAAUACCGCAUAUUCUGUGAGCAGGAAAGCAGGGGAGUCGCAAGACCUUGCGCUGAUUGAGCGGCCGAUAUCAGAUUAGCUAGUUGGUGAGGUAAAGGCUCACCAAGGCGACGAUCUGUAGCGGGUCUGAGAGGAUGAUCCGCCACACUGGAACUGAGACACGGUCCAGACUCCUACGGGAGGCAGCAGUGGGGAAUUUUGGACAAUGGGCGCAAGCCUGAUCCAGCCAUGCCGCGUGAGUGAAGAAGGCCUCGGUUGU